rnacentral:rRNA from 1 species
CAGCAGCCGCGGGAAAACGGAGGGGGCUAGCGUUGUUCGGAAUUACUGGGCGUAAAGCGCACGUAGGCGGCUUGGUAAGUUAGAGGUGAAAGCCUGGAGCUCAACUCCAGAAUUGCCUUUAAGACUGCCGAGCUAGCAGGUGAGAGAGGUAAGUGGAAUCCCGAGUGUAGAGGUGAAAUUCGUAGAUAUUCGGAAGAACACCAGUGGCGAAGGCGGCUUACUGGCUCAUACUGGACGCUGAGGUGCGAAAGCGUGGGGAGCAAACAGGAUUAGAUACCCCGGUAGUCCCUGUCUCUUAUAC